rnacentral:misc_RNA from 1 species
GAUGAAGAACGCAGCGAAAUGCGAUAAGUAGUGUGAAUUGCAGAAUUCCGUGAAUCAUCGAAUCUUUGAACGCACAUUGCGCCCUUUGGUAUUCCAAAGGGCAUGCCUGUUCGAGCGUCAUUUGUACCCUCAAGCUUUGCUUGGUGUUGGGCGUCUUGUCUCUAGCUUUGCUGGAGACUCGCCUUAAAGUAAUUGGCAGCCGGCCUACUGGUUUCGGAGCGCAGCACAAGUCGCACUCUCUAUCAGCAAAGGUCUAGCAUCCAUUAAGCCUUUUUUUCAACUUUUGACCUCGGAUCAGGUAGGGAUACCCGCUGAACUUAAGCAUAUCAAUAAGCGGAGGA